AGGCGCCCGCGGGAAGUUUGGACCCUGCGGCCGGCGCUGGAGGCCCCGCGAGUGCGACUCCCCGUGCACCCGGCUCCGGGCUCGGCGCGUCCCGGUGGGCUCGCCGGGGAAGCUGAAUGCCUUCUGCUUCCUCAUUGGGAGGAGCCAUGGUGACCUUGGGCCCCCGCGCCGGUGUCCGGGAUGGUUGGUCCUUCUCGGCAGCCGGCUACCUCGUUCGUGACCCCACCUCUUUCCCCUUUAUCUUCUUUGGUUGAGCAGCCCUCCUUUGCCUUUACACCUCCCACUCCCAGAGUUGUUUCUGGUUAGGCCAGUGCUGCUGACUUUUGGGACGUUACAGAUGAAGUCUGAAUGAAUGUUAGAGGUUCCCUCCUCAUGCCACUUGGGUAUCAACAUUCUAUGUCAGGCCACCCUCUCCCCUCCUCACUCCAGUAUUGGAUGACUUCUUCACCCAGUUCAGGCUCUGACAUAACAACCAUGCAGUGCUACUCCUCCACAGGAAUGCUACUCCUCCAAGCUCUGCUUGGGCUCUGACACCUCAUCAGGACCAGAUUGGACUGGUUUAGAUGAAGAUGAAGAUGCACAUGUCUGGGAGGAUAAUUGGGAUGAUGACAAUGUAGAGGAUGACUUCUCCAAUCAGUUACGCAUUUUACUACUAGUCCAUACUUCCCUCUACACCUGAGCAGAAGAAAGAUGAUUCAUAUGAAUAAUCUCUGGCCUUAAUAUUAUUCAUGGACUUUAGAGCUGAACUAGAGAAACAUGGUUAUAAGAUGGAGACCUCAUAGUAUCCAGAAGAAGUAUUGAAGCAACCUAAAGUUGAACUAUUUACUAAAUUCUAAGUCACAGAAUCCAGGAUGAAUAAACUUAAAAAAUGUUUAUUUCAUUACUUGCUUGGCUUUAUUUUUGCUUUUGUAACACAAAAAAUAAAUGUUUUGAUCUAA